UUCCUUCUUGAAGCUGUACAUUCAGGGGAAGAGAGCAACCUUUCCUAAUAAAGGAAGACUGUUCCCUGGUCAAGAGUAUAUGAGUAGCUGAGUACCCCUACUAAAACUUCUAAACAAGCUCACCAACUCAGGAGCCCAUAGGAAGUACC
rnacentral:sRNA from 1 species